rnacentral:lncRNA from 1 species
GGCCCAUCCACGCCCGAGGCGCUGAAAUGUGCGGCCUGCGGCUGCCACCGGAGCUUCCACCGCAAAGACGGCGACACCGAUGUCAAUGCCGACAACUCCUAUCACCACCACCACCAUGGUGCCUCUCAUCUUCCUCUCUUGCUCCCGCCUCCCCACCCGCAGUCCCACCCCUACAACCAGCAGAAGCCGUUCCCCUUCGGCUUCCCCUCGAGCCCGCCGUCGCGGGCGGUCCCGCUAUCCUCGGCGGUCAUGGCGUUCGGCGGCAACACGUGCGGGAGCGGAGGGACCACGACGGAGUCGUCGAGCGAGGAGCGGAU